rnacentral:rRNA from 1 species
UAGGGAAUCUUCCGCAAUGGGCGAAAGCUUGACGGAGCAACGCCGCGUGAGUGAUGAAGGUCUUCGGAUCGUAAAACUCUGUUAUUAGGGAAGAACAAAUGUGUAAGUAACUAUGCACGUCUUGACGGUACCUAAUCAGAAAGCCACGGCUAACUACGUGCCAGCAGCCGCGGUAAUACGUAGGUGGCAAGCGUUAUCCGGAAUUAUUGGGCGUAAAGCGCGCGUAGGCGGUUUUUUAAGUCUGAUGUGAAAGCCCACGGCUCAACCGUGGAGGGUCAUUGGAAACUGGAAAACUUGAGUGCAGAAGAGGAAAGGGGAAUUCCAUGUGUAGCGGUGAAAUGCGCAGAGAUAUGGAGGAACACCAGUGGCGAAGGCGAAUUUCUGGUCUGUAACUGACGCUGAUGUGCGAAAGCGUGGGGAUCAAACAGG